GACCUCGAUGGUGUAGUGGUAGCAUGUCCCCCCGGCAUGGGUAAAAUGCAGGUUCAGCUCCUGUCUCAAGUCA